UGGGGAAUUUUACGCAAUGGGCGAAAGCCUGACGUAGCGACACCGCGUGAGCGAAGAAGCCUUUUGGGGUGUAAAGCUCUGUCGGCUGGGAAGAAAAAAAUGACGGUACCAGCAAAGGAAGCAUCGGCUAACUACGUGCCAGCAGCCGCGGUAAGACGUAGGAUGCAAGCAUUGUCCGGAUUUAUUGGGCGUAAAGAGUUCGUAGGCGGUUUGUUAAGUCUAAUGUUAAAGAUCAGGGCUCAACCCUGGGACUGCAUUGGAUACUGGCAGACUGGAGUGUGGUAGAGGUAAGUGGAAUUUCUGGUGUAGCGGUGAAAUGCGUAGAUAUCAGAAAGAACACCAGUGGCGUAGGCGACUUACUGGGCCAUAACUGACGCUGAGGAACGAAAGCCAGGGGAGCAAAUGGGAUUAGAUACCCGCGUAGUCC
rnacentral:rRNA from 1 species